GACGAACGCUGGCGGCGUGCUUAACACGUGCAAGUCGAACGGAAAGGCCCUGCUUUUGUGGGGUGCUCGAGUGGCGAACGGGUGAGUAACACGUGAGUAACCUGCCCUUGACUUUGGGAUAACUUCAGGAAACUGGGGCUAAUACCGGAUAGGAGCUCCUGCUGCAUGGUGGGGGUUGGAAAGUUUCGGCGGUUGGGGAUGGACUCGCGGCUUAUCAGCUUGUUGGUGGGGUAGUGGCUUACCAAGGCUUUGACGGGUAGCCGGCCUGAGAGGGUGACCGGCCACAUUGGGACUGAGAUACGGCCCAGACUCCUACGGGAGGCAGCAGUGGGGAAUAUUGCACAAUGGGCGGAAGCCUGAUGCAGCAACGCCGCGUGCGGGAUGACGGCCUUCGGGUUGUAAACCGCUUUCGCCUGUGACGAAGCGUGAGUGACGGUAAUGGGUAGAGAAGCACCGGCUAACUACGUG
rnacentral:rRNA from 1 species